CAGCCUGCCCAGUGACCAAGUUAAACGGCCGCGGUACCCUAACCGUGCGAAGGUAGCGCAAUCACUUGUUCUUUAAAUAAGGACUAGUAUGAACGGCAUCACGAGGAUUAUACUGUCUCCCUUUUCCAAUCAGUGAAACUGAUCCCCCCG
rnacentral:rRNA from 1 species